AGAGUUUGAUCCUGGCUCAGGACGAACGCUGGCGGCGUGCUUAACACAUGCAAGUCGAACGGUAAGGCCCUUUCGGGGGUACACGAGUGGCGAACGGGUGAGUAACACGUGAGUAACCUGCCCUCAUCUCUGGGAUAACAGUCGGAAACGGUUGCUAAUACUGGAUAUGAGCUUGCAAGGCAUCUUGUGGGUUGGAAAGAUUUUUUUGGUUGGGGAUGGACUCGCGGCCUAUCAGCUUGUUGGUGAGGUAGUGGCUCACCAAGGCUUCGACGGGUAGCCGGCCUGAGAGGGCGACCGGCCACAUUGGGACUGAGAUACGGCCCAAACUCCUACGGGAGGCAGCAGUGGGGAAUAUUGCACAAUGGACGGAAGUCUGAUGCAGCAACGCCGCGUGCGGGAUGACGGCCUUCGGGUUGUAAACCGCUUUCAAUUGUGACGAAGCUUUUUUGUGACGGUAGCAGUAGAAGAAGCACCGGCUAACUACGUGCCAGCAGCCGCGGUGAUACGUAGGGUGCGAGCGUUGUCCGGAUUUAUUGGGCGUAAAGAGCUUGUAGGCGGUUUGUCGCGUCGGGAGUGAAAACUUGGGGCUUAACCCUGAGCUUGCUUUCGAUACGGGCUGACUUGAGGGAGGUAGGGGAGAAUGGAAUUCCUGGUGGAGCGGUGGAAUGCGCAGAUAUCAGGAGGAACACCGGUGGCGAAGGCGGUUCUCUGGACCUUUCCUGACGCUGAGAAGCGAAAGCGUGGGGAGCGAACAGGCUUAGAUACCCUGGUAGUCCACGCCGUAAACGUUGGGCACUAGGUGUGGGGGGCC
rnacentral:rRNA from 1 species